rnacentral:tRNA from 4 species
UGCCGCUUAGCUCAGUGGUAGAGCAGCUGACUGUUAAUCAGCGGGUCGUAGGUUCGAAUCCUACAGCGGCAGCCA